UACGGAGGGGACUAGCGUUGUUCGGAAUUACUGGGCGUAAAGCGCGCGUAGGCGGAUUUGCAAGUCGGGGGUGAAAGCCCGAGGCUCAACCUCGGAACUGCCCUCGAUACUGCAAAUCUCGAGUCCGAGAGAGGUGAGUGGAAUUCCUAGUGUAGAGGUGAAAUGCGCAGAUAUCGGGAGGAACACCGGUGGCGAAAGCGCUCAUCUGGCCCAAUACUGACGCUGAGGCGCGAAAGCUAGGGGAGCAAACGGG
rnacentral:rRNA from 1 species